rnacentral:rRNA from 1 species
UGUAAGCGUAUACCAAAGUUGUUGCAGUUAAAACGCUCGUAGUCGGAAUUUGGCAGUUCCGGAUGUGUGCACGUCGUGUGCGCACUUCGCGGGGAUUGCUUUUGUGGUCUUGCGUAGGAUGAGGCACUUUUAUUAGUGAACGUCCUCACGCAACCACUUUUUACUGUGAGAAAAUCAGAGUGCUCAAAGCAGGCAUUUGCCGUGAAUGUAUUAGCAUGGAAUAAUAGAAUAGGACUUAGUCUUAUUUUGUUGGUUUGUUAGGACCGAGUAAUGAUUAAGAGGGACAGUUGGGGGCAUUUGUAUUUCGGCGCUAGAGGUGAAAUUCUUAGAUUGCCGAAAGACAAACUGCUGCGAAAGCGUCUGCCAAGGAUGUUUUCAUUGA